AGAGUUUGAUCCUGGCUCAGGAUGAACGCUAGCGGGAGGCCUAACACAUGCAAGUCGAACGGGAUUGGUAGCAAUACCAUGAGAGUGGCGCACGGGUGAGUAACGCGUAUGCAACCUACCUAUAACAGAGGGAUAGCCCAUAGAAAUGUGGAUUAAUACCUCAUAGUUCUAUUAGAUCGCAUGAUUUGAUAGAUAAAACUCCGGUGGUUAUAGAUGGGCAUGCGUGACAUUAGCUAGUUGGUGAGGUAACGGCUCACCAAGGCAACGAUGUCUAGGGGUUCUGAGAGGAUGAUCCCCCACACUGGUACUGAGACACGGACCAGACUCCUACGGGAGGCAGCAGUGAGGAAUAUUGGUCAAUGGGCGCAAGCCUGAACCAGCCAUCCCGCGUGCAGGAUGAAGGCCCUAUGGGUCGUAAACUGCUUUUAUACACCAAGAAAAACUCCAAUGCGUUGGGGCUUGACGGUAGUGUAUGAAUAAGCAUCGGCUAACUCCGUGCCAGCAGCCGCGGU
rnacentral:rRNA from 1 species